rnacentral:rRNA from 1 species
UACGUAGGUGACAAGCGUUGUCCGGAUUUACUGGGCGUAAAGAGCGCGCAGGCGGUCGAUCAAGUCGAGUGUGAAAGCCCCCGGCUCAACUGGGGAGGGUCACGCGAUACUGAUCGACUCGAAGGCAGGAGAGGGAAGUGGAAUUCCCGGUGUAGUGGUGAAAUGCGUAGAUAUCGGGAGGAACACCAGUGGCGAAGGCGACUUCCUGGACUGUUCUUGACGCUGAGGCGCGAAAGCUAGGGGAGCAAACGGG